GUAACCAGACUCCAGUAAGGACUCUGUAGGAAGCCUGACAGAGUGAGCCCUCAGCAGAUCGCGUGAGAUGAUGCACAUCCAACACGCUCCUUUGUUGUUCAGUUGGACAGGGCUGCUUUUCCAUUUCUAGCAAUGAUUUUUAAAAGCCAAAUGGGGGAAGAAAACAAUUGUUGGAAAAACAUUCCUUGUGCGGCAUGUUAGCGGGAGUUGGUUCAGAGCCAAAUGCAGGCGGACGGCUUGUGGACCAAGAGAAAGCUGAGCCUGCCUACUCAUUCCGUCAACCCUGCCACCUCCAGUGUCCACUGCAGGCAGGGGAGGAUGGAAGAGUGGCCCCGGCAUGCCUUGCUUACAGUUGCUCAGGGUGGAAGCUGUCUGAGCUUGCAGCCUCCUCCCGAGAGGUGUUAGGUAUCUCAAGCUGACUACAAACUUCUCUGUAACAGAGAAUAAAUAGCCUUGAACUCGAGCUUUGGAACCUCCCACUUCUUCCUCCUGAGUCACGGGAAUACAAGUGUGACCACCAUCCCCUGCUGUCCUCUUGCUUGCCAGACAAGCACUCCGCCAACAGCUCCAUCUCCAGCCCCAAACUUCUUUUAUUGUUUGUAUUUCCUGAAGACACACAUUCUCGGCAGCAUGUGAGGUCGGACAGAACUGGAACAUGAGAUCUGUCACCUGCAAAGUGUAGAAGGUUCUACUUGAUUCAGCUGUUUCCCGGCACCAAGUUUCCAACAACGAAAGCCGCCAUUUGUCUUGGCAGAGGAACUCUGAAAGUCUGCAUUCUGACAACUGUCAAAGUCCUUUGGAGAGGGAUCAGACGGAAAGCUGAAACAGGUGUUUAGCCAGUCCAGAUUUUCAAUCAAAUAAUUAUUCGAUCAGUUAUCUCACCACAGGAAGCUUUGGGUCUUGCAAAAGAUUAAAUCACCUCCUCUUCCUUUUCUCUUAUGUAGGAUGAAAAAAAACAAUAAAGGAAACUAAGCAUUGAA